UUUGUCUUCUACCAGGUACUGUCGGAAAACCAUUUCUGGCUGCUCUCGCUGCUUUACUAUUGUCAGCUAGGAAAAAUAACAAGGAAGUCAGAGAUGAUGGUCUGAUGACCUGAUUGAGCUAUGAGUGGAAUUAAUGGAGCCACACAUGCAAAACAAUGUCCCCCUGCCUGCUUCCUGUAUAAUUUGGAGGAGCCAUGGUAUCCCCUCACUUCCUCUCACCAGGUGAAACCACCAGAAAGGUCUGCACUUACCAGCUGCAGCAAAGAAGGGGAAAAUGGCCCAUAAUAUCCUGAAUGUUGUAAAGGCCUGCGUCUAGGUGAAUGUCUUACACUUCUGCAGGGAAUAGCACCAUAAUAAACCACCAUCAUCUGUACAUUUCAAAUUCUAGGAGACUUUAAUAUUGAAUCUUCUCAAUAUUAACUUGAGAAGGAAGAUGGGUGAGUAGCUGGGACUUGGUAAUAAGGCAUAAUUUUCCUGAAUUAUAGA